AAAUAGGAUUAGAUACCCUAUUAUUUUAAAUAUAAAUUUUAAAUACUAGAUUAUUAUAAGUUUAUGGUCUUUAAAUUAAAAGAUUUUGGCGGUAUAUUAGUCUAUUCAGAGGAAUCUGUCCUGUAAUUGAUAGUCCACGAGAUUAAUUACUUUUUUUAGAAAUUUACAUAUCGUUGUAGAUUGAGUAUUUUAAAAGAAAGAUAAUUCUCGAGAUUUUUAUGAAAAAUUAAAUCAGAUCAAGGUGUAGUUUAUAGGAAAGAAGAGAUGGAUUACAAUAAAUUUAUUUAAAGGAUUAAAUUUUUAAAAAUUUUAUGAAUAUGGAUUUGAAAGUAAUUUUUUAAAUUUAAAGAAAUGAUUUAAGCUCUAAGAUAUGCACACAUGGCCCG
rnacentral:rRNA from 1 species